rnacentral:lncRNA from 1 species
UAAACUAGUUGCGGUACAGAAUUUUGUUUCUAAAAACAAAAGGAUUUUUUUUAGUUUGGAUUUCUACCCAAACUGAACUUAAGCUCCGCACCAUACGAGCACAGAUUCCGCUUCCGCUACUUUAAGAACACACUUGAUAAAAUGAUGUACAUCCAUGCGCCUUUUUUUGUUACACAUACCCAUACUUUACAGCCAACUAAACUAAAAGUGAAAGCUAAGAGCAAAAAGUAGAAAAGCGUGUAGAGAAAAUACAACAAACACAGUUAAUUUACAGGAGUCAGACCCAUUAUUUGUCAGAAAAGUUUCUCUUAAGCAAUAUGGAAAUUGGGAAUGUCUUGUUUGAUAUCAAGACUUAAAAAUCUUACUUUGAUUUCGUAUGUGUAGGAAGAUAAAUAUUAUAGUUUAUACCUCGUGAACUCAAAUUAUUAAUCCAGCUCUAACAACCAAGUUAAUGACUACAACUACCUGAAAUGCCCUCGAGAUAAAUUCAAUAAAUUCAUCCUUAAUUGGCACAACUAAUAUACAUACAAUAAAACCCAUCUAAAAAUCUCAAAUAUUUAACUUCAAAUUUCACACUUAAAACCCCCAACCCCCGUCUGAAUUUCAAUCAAACUCCAGCACUCAACAAGCGGAUUCCUUCCAAAAGAAGGAAAUUGAUGGGUGUUCAAAAUUUAAGAUAAUGAAACGUAAAUUUGCAACCAUCUAACCUUCAAACUUAAUCAUAAACAGCUUAUUAGGUCAACAAACCACAGAUUGAACAAGAACAACAUGAAACAGAUAAAAUAAUUAGAAAAUGACUUACAUUAAUUAAACAGAGCCGGAAUGAAUGAUCUCAUUUAGAUCCAUGAAUCUUCGAUUUUACACUUAGACAAGGGGACAGCAGGCGGUGAAAGAUGAGUCGAGCGGUCCCAAUUGAAUCCAAAUCCGUGAAUGCUACUUUCCUAUCCUAUCGACUGCACACCUCGCUUGUCUGGAUGGUUGUUGUUUGUAGUUUACACGCAGUACUUUACAUACGUCAUUU